rnacentral:rRNA from 1 species
GACGUAGGGCGCGAGCGUUGUCCGGAUUUAUUGGGCGUAAAGAGCUCGUAGGCGGCUUGUCGCGUCGUCCGUGAAAACCUGCAGCUCAACUGCAGGCUUGCGGUCGAUACGGGCAGGCUAGAGUUCGGUAGGGGGAGACUGGAAUUCCUGGUGUAGCGGUGAAAUGCGCAGAUAUCAGGAGGAACACCGGUGGCGAAGGCGGGUCUCUGGGCCGAUACUGACGCUGGAGGAG